CAGGUUUUCUAUAAUUGAAAGUUUCAGCAAAUAUUUUCAUUCUAUCUUUGGUGGAUGUAAUUGGAACUUGACAUGGUAAAUAAACUUCAAAAAUUAUUUCACACCUUGAUUAGAACUCAAAAGCUAACUGUUUGGGCAGUGAUUUAGAAGUUAUGCCAUUGGACGCAUUAACCAGUGAAUCAAUGAAUCCAAAAAAUUUAGCAAGAACUGGUUUUUCGUCAUUUAAUUGGUGAAGCCAUUUAAUUGAGCAGUUAAGUUGGAUGAAAUGGUUUGUUUUCUGCAAUAAUAAACAUGCAAUAGUAUGAUUAAUGUGCCUCAACCAUUCUUCUCUCUUCCCAUUCGUGGCCUCUAUCUUUUCCCUAAGCAAUCUAAGAUUCUUAUGUUUCUUUCAAAAUCAGUUCGGCGAGUAGCACUGAUUUGUCUAUUCUGAUUUGGCAUGGAACGCUUUCAACAAAUAGUUUCUUUAGCUCUCUUGUGGGGCAUAUAAAAUUUUCAUAUGAUCAGAGUUGCAUUUGCAUAUGAUGAUUUUCUUGUUUAGUAAAACCAAAUUCUUAUUCGCCUAUCGGAAAAGUUCUUUGAAUACCGAUGGGUGCAACUACAAUUACAUUGUAAGAUUUGUGUAUCGAGAGAAGUUCUGUGUAGAGGCAGUAAACAGUUGAGAAUAAUUUCUUCAUAUUAUUGUUCUCUGUUUUCUUAUUUUCUCCGUAGUAGUUCUUUUCUUUUCCCAGAACAAAAGCUUCACAAA
rnacentral:misc_RNA from 1 species